AGUGAACGCUGGCGGUAGGCCUAACACAUGCAAGUCGAACGGCAGCACAGUAAGAGCUUGCUCUUACGGGUGGCGAGUGGCGGACGGGUGAGGAAUACAUCGGAAUCUACUUUUUCGUGGGGGAUAACGUAGGGAAACUUACGCUAAUACCGCAUACGACCUACGGGUGAAAGCAGGGGAUCUUCGGACCUUGCGCGAUUGAAUGAGCCGAUGUCGGAUUAGCUAGUUGGCGGGGUAAAGGCCACCAAGGCGACGAUCCGUAGCUGGUCUGAGAGGAUGAUCAGCCACACUGGAACUGACACGGUCCAGACUCCUACGGGAGGCAGCAGUGGGGAAUAUUGGACAAUGGGCGCAAGCCUGAUCCAGCCAUACCGCGUGGGUGAAGAAGGCCUUCGGGUUGUAAAGCCCUUUUGUUGGGAAAGAAAAGCAGCAGGUUAAUACCCCGCUGUUCUGACGGUACCCAAAGAAUAAGCACCGGCUAACUUCGUG
rnacentral:rRNA from 1 species